AAUGCUCAUACAGCUGGGUCAAGGGCUUUGCUGAGGAAGGGAGGGAAAAGCAGCUACAGAGUGAAGCUGUAGCAGAGCUGUACCAGCCUGGAGAAAGGGGCAGAGACUUGGCCCCUCCUUCCCACCAGGCAGAGGGAAUGAAGCUGAGGCUUGCUGGGGAGCAGACUUCAGGACAGAGGAGAAGCUAAGUCAUCCCAGGAGAAGCUGAUUCCCCACCCAGGCUCAGAACUGUGUAAUCAGGGACGCAGGCAAACUCCAGUGCAUUUUUGGAAGAAGAAAGAAGCCUGCUUGAUUUGAGGAAGGAUUUCCAUAACCUGGAGCCUUUGACAGGAUGGGAUAAGGGAGAAUCAAAUUGAGGGGAAAAAAAAAAGGAGAACCCUGGUGGAAUCAGUGUUCCACCUCCCUCCAAAAAAUAAAAAAAUAAAAAGGGAGAAUCAUUAUAGUAGUGAACAGGGUUGUACCUAAGUUCUCAAGCCACAUGGGGAAAUACGCAAGAUGGAGGACUGUCAGAAGCUGUAUCCCAUGAAGCCCAUUGUCCAGACCCCUACAGACCGCUAACAGCAAGCAUUGUCACUCGACCAGAAAAAAGAAAUGCAGAGAUAUGAAGAGGAAAAUGAAUGGACACAGGAGUGAGUCAUGAUACUGAAAUCAGCAGAAUCGUCUCUAUUGUUGAAUUUCUUAAUCCCACCAGCCAGACAUGCGAUCUUCGCUUCUUGCUGCUACUGGAAGCAUCACAAUGGAUUGUCUUGCGCUGCAGUGGCUCCUUCAUUCUUGCAUAAUCCCACACUUCAGCAGUGGUGUAAAUUAAACGGGGAGAACAUGCACUGAAACUCCAGGCACCCCAGGCAAGAGUGAAAAGCAAUGCAAUUGAAUUAAUCCACUCUCCAUUUGUGCAGUCACACAAUUUGAAAGGAGAAUUGAAUUCCUCAGCAAGUAGGCAGAGCAGGCUCAGUAAAAUGUUUGGGGAGUAUUUUUUUUUUUUUUUUUAAUUCUAGUGCAGGAAGCAAAGGGACACUGGUCUGUUAGUUUAUCAAAUCUGUCAAUUACUCCUGCUCAACUGAUCCGUUUAUAGCUGCAAAACCACUCAGCAUUUCCUGCCCUUUCCUCUCCCUGUUGUAUCUCUCCAAAAUGUUUUCAUCCUUUGACGGGUACUGAAAGACCUCUCUUAGGAACAGGAAAGUAGUGAGCAAUAGAGUCACUGAUAAGUACCUCAGUGGUACCCAGUUCUCAGCACAGCUGAGAAUCCAAUAAAGCUGAAACUGGUUACAGAUUCCUUUUCACUAUGGACACAUGAUUAAUGUAAUUUUAUAUCCAUGCUAGUUCUUUGUGGGGAAACUAAGUACUACAAUAUUU